CAGAGGAGGCGCCAAGAGCGAGCGAGGGCUGUGAGGACUGCCAGCACGCUGUCACCUCUCAGUACCACCAAUAUCAUGAUUAUUGAAUGAGGUUGCCUUGAUAAUUCUGCUGAUCUUGCCUGGCUUUACUAAUGUGCCUGAGGUUGUCUAGAAGAUGAAAUGGAAUGGGUGGAUUUGGUGGAAUAGGUGGAUUCGGUGGAAUGGAUGGAUUCAGUGGAAUGGGUGGAAUAGGAAGACGAAGGCUGGAGUUGGAUAAUGAUCCUUCUAUUAUGAGCUUUGACAAUUCUGGGACAUGGACUCUCGGUACAGAUUGCCCAAGACAUCUCACAUGACCAAGCAAUGGGACAUGUCUCUUCUUA
rnacentral:lncRNA from 10 species